AUCCACAGGAGGAAGUGAUAGAGGUCAGUAGAGAGCAGAACUCACUCUGUCCAUCAUUACAGGAGAUCCACAGGAGGAAGUGAUAGAGGUCAGUAGAGAGCAGAACUCACUCUGUCCAUCAUUACAGGAGAUCCACAGGAGGAAGUGAUAGAGGUCAGUAGAGAGCAGAACUCACUCUGUCCAUCAUUACAGGAGAUCCACAGGAGGAAGUGAUAGAGGUCAGUAGAGAGCAGAACUCACUCUGUCCAUCAUUACAGGAGAUCCACAGGAGGAAGUGAUAGAGGUCAGUAGAGAGCAGAACUCACUCUGUCCAUCAUUACAGGAGAUCCACAGGAGGAAGUGAUAGAGGUCAGUAGAGAGCAGAACUCACUCUGUCCAUCAUUACAGGAGAUCCACAGGAGGAAGUGAUAGAGGUCAGUAGAGAGCAGAACUCACUCUGUCCAUCAUUACAGGAGAUCCACAGGAGGAAGUGAUAGAGGUCAGUAGAGAGCAGAACUCACUCUGUCCAUCAUUACAGGAGAUCCACAGGAGGAAGUGAUAGAGGUCAGUAGAGAGCAGAACUCACUCUGUCCAUCAUUACAGGAGAUCCACAGGAGGAAGUGAUGCCACAGCAGACACACAGAGUGUCCGUCCUGACUGUAACAGUGACACGUACACAGCUCUGAACAUGAGGACCUUGUCCCCUGACUAUGACACUCUGGCAAGUGUCCAUCCUGAUCCUAACAGUGACACGUACACAGCUCUGAACAUGAAGACCAGGUCACCAGAGUAUGACACCCUGGCAAAUGUGAGGGGAAUCUCCCACUGAAGAGAAGCAACACAGAACCUGGACUGAAGAGAACCACCAACAUUGAACCUGGACUGAAAAUUAUCACCACACAACCUGGACUGAAGGUUCCAAUACAAAACGAGGCCUUACACCUCUAUUCUAUUGCUGCCAUAUCUAGAAGUUUUUACACACCAUGAACUUUAACUUUUCAGUAAAUACUGGAAUAUAUAUUUUGGAAUGGAAUAUAUUGAUGAUAAAUGAGAUGGGUUAUAUUUUUUUAUGUAAAUAGCCACAUUUUCUUGUGUACCAAUCUGUUAACUAUCUUUAGUUUUAUUUCUGAUCUUUUUCUAUGGGAUUUUGUCAUAUACAGAUGUUUUAUAGCAUCAAUAGUCCUACUUUCCUCAGCAACUAAUGUGGAUCAUAUUGAAAACAGCUUUUUAAUAUUUUUAGCUCUUGGGUCAAGUUUCUCCAGAUGUGUUUCAUGAUGAUUGACUUUGUAUUGCUGUCAGAUAUUAUUACUCAUUUUAUAUUACGUAAUACAAUAUUGUUCCGUGUCAUGAUAUUUUUUUUAUUUUAAAAUAAAUGUAAUCACUCCGUUAUUAUAAUUUCCAACAUUUUGGUAGGCUAUUUGUUAGUCAACUUGUCUAUCAUUUCUAAAUAC